AAGAACUUCACUAAGUAUCCAUGAAGGAAUGAUAGGAGGCUACUAGAGGAAAAGCAGGAUUAUAAAAAAGUAAGUGGGAUGAAAACAAGACCAUUUGGAGCCUUUUUGAGAGAAAGAAGAAAACACCCUGUUUCAUACCUGUUCCAUGCGGCAGCUUAUGAGGCCUCUUGCUUGUAGGAUGCUUCUUCUCCUUUGGACAUCGCCAAAUCUGGAGAAGAUCAACUACAUUUUAAAGAGAGGAAAUGGAUGUUUGCUCCACAAUUUUCCCCAGGAAAAACGCAAUUUCUUACCCUUUGUGUCUGCUGGACAGAAGGUUCCAAACUCCAAUAAUGGUUCUUUGGGUAUUUUUUAUCUUGUCCCAUAACCACAUGUGAGCAUGUCCCAUUUAGAAAUAACUGGCCUCUGCUUUCAGCAGGUCUUUAGAGAUGCUGUCUGUAUGGGGAAAAUAUGUAAUGUUUAUAAUAUGAAUUUAAUAUUUCGUAUUCAACUGACACCAGCUCUCAAUCUACUGACAUCAGCCUGCUCAAUAUAUCGGGACCUUCUCACAAGACUGACAUACUGAAAAUGGUCUCUUUUUUUCCUGAAAAUUGUUAUUUGAAUAAUUUGGCCCAUUUCAUUAUUUGAAUAAUUUGUCCUAUUUCAGUUUUGUCCCUUAAAAAAUGAACAAAAAUGAUAAUUCUUCUUAGCCACAGAGAGGUUAUGAUGGAGGUAGUUCUGGUUUCCAAAGUGAACAGGAGAGGCAAAUCCUAAAUGUUGAAGUCAAGCAGAUUAGACAAAACGCAGCUUGGCUGAACAGUGUCCUUCUCUUUGAAUUAAGGUGAAAAAGGAAUGUUUAUGGACAGGGAAACAUCACAGAGAAGAACACAGAAGAUGCUUGCUGCUGUAGGGAGAAAAUUCGUGCAGCCAAAGCUUAACUUGAAGUGAAGUUGACCAGAACAGUAGGAGAAAAUAAAAGAUUUCUUCAAAUAUAUGGAUAGCAAAAGGCUGUGAUGAAAAUAUAUCAGCCCAUUACAGGAUGAGGAUGGUCACCUCAUCAAGAGAGACACCUUAGCUAUCUCAGAUGGCAAAAAGUAGCGGGAUGGCUUCUGUGACAGUGUAGGAAACAAAAGUUUUAAUAAAAGGCAAAAUAACAAAGCUCUUUACAGAGAAAAACCGAGCUAAGGCAAGAGGUUCUUGCUCUUGCUAAAACACUUCACAAAAGUGAUUUACUUCUUUUGUUCUCUUCUUUUUCUAGUGAAUUGCUCAGGUGGGACAUUUUAUCUUCUGUCCAGUUGGCUAUCCUUAAGUUUGAGGUGAAGUCCCACUCAGUAUCUUAUGAGGUGUCUUUUAACCAAAUUGAAGAGAGAAACUUCUGGGUUUUUUUUCCUUUUUAAGGAGACAAAGGUCACUCCAUCAACAAGGGGCACAUUCCUACAGGACACACAUAAGGCAGGUGUGUUUACUGCCAUCUUUGCCUCCAUCUUCCCCAUGGAUGACGGACCAAGAGAGUCUUGGCAGCCUGUGAGAAUGAUCAACUCUCCUUUGACUCUGAACACAUGUGGGAUCUGCUGCUCCAUCUGGAUCCCUACAAAUUUGUUGAGGGAUUCAUCAGAGAAUGCACAGCAAGCUGUCUGGUGUCAUUGCAAAGCCUCUCUGGAUAUUUUUUGAGUGGUCUUGGGAAUUCAGAGAGGUCCUGAUUUUCAAGAAUGGUGAUAAGGAGGAGUCUGGAAACUACAGGCCUGUCAGCCUCACUGCCUGAUAAAAUCAUAAAAAAAGAUUAUUCUGGGAAGUACUGAAAAACACCCGGAGGACAAUGCAGUCAUUGAUCACAGCCAGUGAGACUUCAUAAGUAGAAAGCUGUGCUUAUCAAACCUGAUUUCCUUCUAUGAUAGGGUAACCCACUGAAUUGGUCUAGGAAAUCCAUUUAAUGUCAUCUUUUUGUACUUCAGCAAACCUUUUGAUUUAGAGGAUCCUUCUGGACAAAAUGUCCAGCUCACAGCUGGAUAAACACAUCCUGUGAUGGCUGAGCACCUGGCUCAUAGGUGGGACACAAAGGGUUAUAUUGACUGGAGUGAAAUCAGGCUGCUGACCUGUCACUAGUAGGGUUCCACGACGUACUUGUGAAUUAUUUCUAACUCAGCAUAUUCUAUGAUUCUAUAUAUAAAAUUAAAUUAUCCCAGUUCUCAGGAAGAGUUUGUUAGGUUUGGCCUGGGAAAACAGUUAUUCUCUUCAGACAUAAAGGUAAGUUUUGCAAAAUUAGGUAAAGUAGAAUGGAGUGAACUUUUCUAUAUAAUAAGAUGAAAAGAAAAUGUUGGCAAAAUGUGUAUUGUAAGGUGACUGUCACUGCUCUGAAAUAAGUCAAGCCAUUAUGGCUGAGCACACAAAGGUUGUGUACUCCCACUGCCUCUUGUUACCCUCACAAGGAGCUGUGAAGAUGAGAUGAGACUUUCUUUAAAGGUUUCUGGGAUUUCAUUGCAAAGAAGCGAGAGAUGAAUGUUCAAAGAAUUCCUGUGCAGAGAGACUCUUCAUGGGCUGGGCAGGACAGAAGGGCUGUUUGAAGGCUGGCUACAGCCCUACCAUAUCCUGUGGGAGGGAUCUCAGUGCUAGCAGUGGGAGUAAUAUCUCCUCUGCUUCCUCCUAAAUCCAGGCAGGAAGGACAUUUUGAGGUAUAGGAUUAACUAUACCACUUCAUCUGACAGGAGCUGAGCGUGAGCACCAUGAAGACUGCAUGUCAGUGAAAUGUAAAUUUUAAGGAAUUUAGAGAUUUUAGAGGAGAUAAGAUUUUAGUUUGAAAUAAGCCUUA